rnacentral:misc_RNA from 1 species
AUGCGAUACGUAAUGUGAAUUGCAGAAUCUCGUGAAUCAUUGAAUCUUUGAACGCACAUUGCGCCUUAUGGUAUUCCAUAAGGCAUGCCUGUCUGAGCGUCAGCUCCCCCCCACUCAAGCUCUUUUGCUUGGAAUCUUAGAAAAGCAGUCUUCUGCCUUCUAUAAAUUCAUAGGCAGUAUGGUUUUUUCCAGACUCGACGUCAUAAUUCAAAAAAACGUCUUAUUUGGAGUUAUCGUAUUUGCCUUUAACCCACCCUUUUUUUUUUUUUACUUGGGUGACCUCAGAUCAGGUAGGGAUACCCGCUGAACUUAA